rnacentral:rRNA from 1 species
AUGAACGCUGGCGGCGUGCCUAAUACAUGCAAGUCGAGCGAACAGACGAGGAGCUUGCUCCUCUGACGUUAGCGGCGGACGGGUGAGUAACACGUGGAUAACCUACCUAUAAGACUGGGAUAACUUCGGGAAACCGGAGCUAAUACCGGAUAAUAUAUUGCACCGCAUGGUUCAAUAGUGAAAGACGGUUUUGCUGUCACUUAUAGAUGGAUCCGCGCCGCAUUAGCUAGUUGGUAAGGUAACGGCUUACCAAGGCAACGAUGCGUAGCCGACCUGAGAGGGUGAUCGGCCACACUGGAACUGAGACACGGUCCAGACUCCUACGGGAGGCAGCAGUAGGGAAUCUUCCGCAAUGGGCGAAAGCUUGACGGAGCAACGCCGCGUGAGUGAUGAAGGUCUUCGGAUCGUAAAACUCUGUUAUUAGGGAAGAACAAAUGUGUAAGUAACUAUGCACGUCUUGACGGUACCUAAUCAGAAAGCCACGGCUAACUACGUG